UACGAAGGGUGCAAGCGUUACUCGGAAUUACUGGGCGUAAAGCGCACGUAGGCGGAUUGACAAGUUGGGGGUGAAAUCCCGGGGCUCAACCCCGGAACUGCCUCCAAAACUGUCAGUCUUGAGUUCGAGAGAGGUGAGUGGAAUUCCGAGUGUAGAGGUGAAAUUCGUAGAUAUUCGGAGGAACACCAGUGGCGAAGGCGGCUCACUGGCUCGAUACUGACGCUGAGGUGCGAAAGCGUGGGGAGCAAACAGG
rnacentral:rRNA from 1 species